AUUGAACGCUGGCGGCAUGCUUUACACAUGCAAGUCGAACGGCAGCGCGGGGGCAACCCUGGCGGCGAGUGGCGAACGGGUGAGUAAUGCAUCGGAACGUAUCCUGUAAUGGGGGAUAACGUAGCGAAAGUUACGCUAAUACCGCAUACGCUCGAGAGAGGAAAGUGGGGGAUCGCAAGACCUCACGUUAUAGGAGCGGCCGAUGUCCGAUUAGCUAGUUGGUGGGGUAAAGGCCUACCAAGGCGACGAUCGGUAGCUGGUCUGAGAGGAUGAUCAGCCACACUGGGACUGAGACACGGCCCAGACUCCUACGGGAGGCAGCAGUGGGGAAUUUUGGACAAUGGGCGAAAGCCUGAUCCAGCCAUGCCGCGUGCGGGAAGAAGGCCUUCGGGUUGUAAACCGCUUUAGUCCGGGAAAAAGGGGUGCGAGGAUAAUACCCUUGUGCUUUGAUGGUACUGGAAGAAUAAGCACCGGCUAACUACGUG
rnacentral:rRNA from 1 species